rnacentral:rRNA from 1 species
AGGAUGAACGCUGGCGGUCUGCUUAACACAUGCAAGUCGAACGGGGUAGCAAUACUUAGUGGCGGACGGGUGAGUAACGCGUGAGAAUCUACCUUCAGGACGGAGACAACAGUUGGAAACGACUGCUAACCCCCGAUGUACCGAAAGGGCAAAUAUUUAUAGCCUGAAGAAGAGCUCGCGUCCGAUUAGCUAGUUGGAGAGGUAAAAGCUCACCAAGGCGACGAUCGGUAGCUGGUCUGAGAGGACGAUCAGCCACACUGGGACUGAGACACGGCCCAGACUCCUACGGGAGGCAGCAGUGGGGAAUUUCCGCAAUGGGCGAAAGCCUGACGGAGCAAGACCGCGUGGGGGAAGAAGGCUCUUGGGUUGUAAACCCCUUUUCUCUGGGAAGAACGCAAUGACGGUACCAGAGGAAUCAGCAUCGGCUAACUCCGUGCCACAGCCGC